GACAAAAAACUGAGUUUUUACUUGGCUGUAUUUGUGCUUAAAUGUUGUUACAGAUGUUGUUUCCAUGCUAGAGAGAACUAAAGUUUUGUGUGUGGGAUUAUGUGACAAAAUUGUCAAAAACUUUAUAUAAAAACAAAAAAUUAUUUUCCUUUAAUUUUCAUCCACACAUAUGCAUUUGUGCUACAGGCUAGAGAUUUGCAACCCCUGCAGUAUUGAUAAUGUACUCUUGGCCAUGCAUUUGUUCUUCACUCUCGUAGUUCUUGACAACAGUUGAUUAUUUAUAUUAUAUUGCUCCUAGUUGACUGUGAUUUCAUUAUCUUUUGUAUUAUGUCAUUUUUUCUCCUCUUGAGUCCUUUGUUGAUUUAAGUUUUGUUUCUUCAAAAACUGACUUUUCCCCUUUUUGUGGAAAUUGCAGUCUGUACACUGCAGAACAUUGGGUUCUGGCUCUAGGCUUUUGGUGCCAGGCAUGGCUGUGCAACCCAUGUGGACUGGAAUAGUCCAGGCACAGUCUCACACCAGUGAAAUGAGUGUUUCAUAAGAAUGCCUUUCUAUUGUGCGAUUUUUCUCCCCCCACCUACCAAAGCCAGUAGUAGUUGUGAAUAUCAGUUUUGACUUUUGGAUUGUUUCUGCUCUGAUAGGUUUGAGACUGUUUUAACUUGGAGGACAUGACUGUUCUCCAUACUAUAACUUCUGCUAUCUCAAGUUUUUGUAUAGAAACUCCCUAGGGAGUACUCAUUGAAGGGGCUUUUCAUCUGUUUCUCUCAUCUUCUGUGGAUGAUGGAUACUCACUGCAAUCACAGACUCUCGACCACAAAACCACCUUUCCAAAAAGAAUGUAAAAUGAGAGAUGGCUGAAGUGUCUAUCAAACUCUGAUCUAGGUCUGCUAAAUGUAUCAAAAGCAUUCCUCUGCUUUCCUGGCAAGGGCAUCAAAUGCCCAGACACUUCAGAUGAAAGAGUAUACUCACUAACUUUCCACAUGAAAAUAGGAAUUGUCACUUCUUGUUUUCCUGCUGUCUUCCAUCUUGUUUCAUAGGCUUUGUGGCUUCAGAGAUUCCAUGUCUCUAGAAAUGACAGAUGAGACGACCUCACCAAGUUACCUUGCUCUUCUAGGCUGUCUUGAAUAUAGAAAACGCUUAAAGCAUUGCUAUAAAUUCCUGUUCCCUAAUGUGAGGAUGAUUUAAGAGAAUGUAUUUUAAAUUGUAUUGUGUAAUUUAGUCUUAUGAACACACAAAAGUUUAGCUUGAUUUGCAGAUCAUGGAAUAUUGCUGGGAAGGGAAGGGAAGGCUCUGGAUCCAUUUAAGUUGAAAUGCAAACAAGACAAAACAAGACAAAAUCAUUUUAGUAAUAUUAUUUACUUUAUAAAGCAAACAAAAUAGUUCUGUAGCUCUCCUGAAAAGAGAACAAAAAUAGCUGAAAGUUAAUUUACAAGACAAACCAGUAUAUUGUUCAUCCUUUAAGCAUUUCUGGUUGCCCAGCAUUUAAGCUGUUGCCCUUAAGAGGGACAUUAAUGGGUAUCAGAUUUUUCAUUACCACAGACCUGUUUGUCUGUUCAGUCUUUCUUAAUUAAAUAUGUUAGAAACAGGAUUUGAACUCUCUUGUUGUUUUCCAGCAUAAAAAAUAUCUCUGUCUCUGUGGCUGUAGGAACCAAUCUUGUCUAAAUUCCUCCUGGCUUUCUUUCAUUUUCCAUUUUUGCUAAAUACAAAUCUUCAUACCAGCCAUCACCUGAAACCUAUUUGGUUCCUAGGGCAUGUUCUGACCAGCUCUAGCACAAUCUCUUGUACUUUUCAUCUGACCCCUUGUACUGGGCAAUGUUUUCAGUGCCUUCUGUUCUCACUGGAAAAGUAAUUUCUUAAAUGGGAUGUCACUUAGCAUGAAUGAGAGGAGAAAACAUGCUCAGCUUCAUUAAGCAGCAAAUAGCUUUUGGCAAGUGUAUAAGUAAAUCAAGUUUAUAUAAAAGCCCUAAUCAUUUUCCACAUGACCUGUUACGUUAAGUUUUGGUUGGUUUUAUUUACCCUGUAAGAAUGUAUUCUGAUGAUUCUAAUUUGAGAUCUGUAAAGGAAAAAUGUUACCCUAUCAAAACUGAUAAUAUCAUAACUAAUUAAGGGCUUGACUGAGUUUGAAGGAGAUCAAUAUUACCUUCAUUUCUUGUGGUAAAUUUAUUUCUGAAAUAUAUUCUUUCUUUUUACAAUUGUCACAAUAGGUGAAUGCUGGACCUGUAUAUAUAAGAAAAAAGCCAUCAGGGUUUUUUUGGUUUGCUUUUUUUUUAAAAAAAAAACCCCAAACCUUCAGGUUCUGUAUGCUGGUUAUAUAUAGGGAAAAAGGUAUCAGGAGUGAUGUUUAGGGUCUUUUUUGUUUGGAUUUUGUUUUUUUUUUUUUAAUAACCCUUGGUUGUACAGCUAUUUACAGGUUGUAUCUUAGUGAAUUAUGAAAAUUACUGUUUAUGGAGAAAUGAAAUAUUACUGCAAAUAAGAACAUUAAAAUACUGAGUAGCUGGGUGACAAACCAUCUGAUGAAGUUCAGCACAGAUUAAUGUUAAAUGAUGUGUACAGGAGAUGUGAAAAAAUCCCCAAUUUCAAUUUACAUAUAAAGCAGAAGCCUCUAAUUAGACCACUAUGAUCCAAGAAUAAGGGCAGUGUACUAAGGUGGUUACUAUCACCUCAGUGUUCAAGAGCAACUGAAGGGGCAGAGGCAUGGGAGCUCUCGGGGUGGACUGAGGAGGAAGGAACCAAAACCAGAACACUGAACCUUUUCUCUUAUGCAUGAGCCUCUGGUGCCACACCAUGUACAAUGGCAUGUGAAAGGCUGUUCCCCUAAUCAUAAAAGUGGCACAGUAGCGCUACAAAAGAUUUAGAUUCAGAUUAUAAAAGUAAUCUAAUUUACAGAAGCACUUUUGUGUGAGGAACAGAUAAAGAGAGUGGGACAGAAGUGUUCACAAGUGGCACAUUCUAUAGGAUUUCAGCAACAUUCUUCCUUAUUUAUACUGCAGUUUUUAAAUUAACUCUCAUUCUUAAUUUAUGCAAAUUUUAAGACUGCCUGAAAGCAGAUGCCAAAGUUUUGAUUACAUGUUUUCUAUUGAAUUCUAUUGAUUAUAAAGAAAAAAAAAGAAAUAGCACAGCAGUCAUCUAUCAGAAACCAGUUUAAUACACUGUGUUUUUCUGAAAAAGAUUUGCAACUGGUAGACAGAUAAUUCUCCUAGAAUGGUGUAGUUUAUUUUGCUUUUAUAGUGUAUUUUCAGAUGAUUUUUGAGGUUGAGUUUUAAUAGUUAAUUGGAAACCACAGUACGAAGACACCAAAAACUACACAAGCCUUCCUGUGAUAUGCAAGUAAACUGUAUGAAUAGAGUGAUGCUUAGCUUAGUACUUCACUGUGUAAUUGCACCUCAUUCAACUUCUCUAAUAAUUAAUUAGGUUUUUUGUGGUGCCCUAUUCCUGUUAGUGACCACUGUCUAAAACAGAAUAUGAAACAUGAAAUGUUUUUAACAGAAAACCAACCAAAAACUUCUUUCAAGGAGACAUCAUAAGGUAAUGGUAUAAAAGUAUUGACAUGUUGAACUGUGCCUUGAAGCAUUUUAUUUGCCCAAAUACUUCCUUUUAUCAUUUGCACAAGAUUGGUCUAGAUGAGAUUUUGUGCUGAUGAGCUGUAUCUGAGUGCCAAUGUAAAAUGUAUAAGUGGAUUCUAUGUUUUAUUGAAUAUGUUGGGUAAGUGGCUCUUCCCGUCUCUGAUAGUGCACAGAGCUGGAAUGUUGGCUUAGCUGAUGUCCUGAAGGCUGCCAAAAAUGGAUGUCUUCCAGCAAAAUAAAAUCAGAGCCAAGUGUGUAGAGACAAAUUUAAAAAUGCCUGCCUUAGCCCCAGCCACCCUGUCCUUGGUGCCAAGAACUGAACAUCAAUCUUGAGUCAUGUCUGUGUUACCAAGUCACGCAAACCAGUAAUGUGCAUGCAUCUGUGAAGUAGAGCACGUGGUGCUGGAGAUCCAGCAUACAUCAUAUAUUCUUUGGUAUGUUUUGUUUCAAACUACUUCUAGUAUCAUUCUGUGUGCCUUUUAACAGCUGGAGUAGAUUACACAUGCUGCUGAAGUCCAUCUUCCAAAUAAGUUUUAUCUGAAAAGAUUCCAGUUCAUAUGAUCAAAGGCUAUUCUGCAAUAUGAGCAAAGGCUGUUAAGCAGAGAGCUAUUAAAAGUGCUGUUUUGUACUAACAAGCUGUGGUAGAUGUGUCCCAAGCCUCCAGCCAGCACUUGUAUUCCCAUAACACAGCAUGUCAGCUUACAGAUGUGAAAUUCAUAAUACAGCACCAUUGUUACUAGUGAAACUAUUGUCUGAGCUGAGUACUUAGGGAGUGCCCAGCCCUUCUGGCAGACUAUUCAAAGAAAAAAACCCAAUGAUCUAGACCAGUGGUCUCCAAGUGAUUUGAUCAUCUACUCCAUCAGUAAAGAAUUUUUGAACAUUUACCCACCAAUAAUGUAUUCUAAUAUUCUAAUUCUAAUAUUUUCACUACAGUGGAUCAUAGAAUUAUUUGCUUGGAAAAGACCUCAAAGAUCCUAAGCAAAGAUUAUCUGUGGAGAACUGAAGGUAACAUCCAAAGUACAGAGUUUGCAAAAGAAUUAAACAUUUUCUUAUCAGUCAGACACUGAAAUCUAUCCAAAGAACAGAUUACUGAUGAAUUUUUUUUGUAUCAGUAGGUCACUGAGAAAUUUAACAUCUCCUUACAAAAACAUGAUUAUAAUAAAAGGA